rnacentral:rRNA from 1 species
UACCAGCACCCCGAGUGGUCGGGACGAUUAUUGGGCCUAAAGCAUCCGUAGCCGGUCCUACAAGUCUUCCGUUAAAUCCACCUGCUUAACAGAUGGGCUGCGGAAGAUACUAUAGGGCUAGGAGGCGGGAGAGGCAAGCGGUACUCAGUGGGUAGGGGUAAAAUCCUCUGAUCCAUUAAAGACCACCAGUGGCGAAGGCGGCUUGCCAGAACGCGCUCGACGGUGAGGGAUGAAAGCUGGGGGAGCAAACCGG